GCGCACGUAGCCAAGCGGCCUAAGGCGCCCGCCUGCUAGAGCGGGUAUUCCCCGGUUCGAAAACUUCGACUGGAAAAUCGAGGACGGAAGUCCGGGCGUGCGCU
rnacentral:tRNA from 1 species